ensembl:lncRNA
GUCAGUGAAUCUCAUUAUGGAUUAGUCGGUGUGCGCGCGGCCGGGGUGUGUUUACUCAUUACGUUACUUCUGAAUACUUUACGAUAGAUUUUCCUCAUUCUUGCACACGACUGACUUUUGACCCUUGACCUCUCCAUAGGCUGUUUAUCCCCCCGGUCAGCAUGCCUCUGUUGUUUUUGCCACUCCACCUCCACCAAUGAAGUCUGCUCCACAACCCAGAGAGCUUGCACCAGGGCCUCGUGCUUUACAUCAACAGUCGUAUUACCCUCGGGGCGGUUUGCAAAGUAACACCCCACGGGUGGCAACUAGUAACGUGCCACGCCC